rnacentral:rRNA from 1 species
GAUGAACGCUGGCGGCGUGCCUAAUACAUGCAAGUCGAGCGAACGGACGAGAAGCUUGCUUUCCUGAUGUUAGCGACGGACGGGUGAGUAACACGUGGAUAACCUACCUAUAAGACUGGGAUAACUUCGGGAAACCGGAGCUAAUACCGGAUAAUAUUUUGAACCGCAUGGUUCUUAAGUGCAAGACGGUCUUGCUGUCACUUAUAGAUGGAUCCGCGCUGCAUUAGCUAGUUGGUAAGGUAACGGCUUACCAAGGCAACGAUGCAUAGCCGACCUGAGAGGAUGAUCAGCCACACUGGAACUGAGACACGGGCCAGACUCCUACGGGAGGCAGCAGUGGGGAAUCUUCGGCAAUGGGCGAAAGCCUGACGGAGCAACGCCGCGUGAGUGAUGAAGGUCUUCGGAUCGUAAAGCUCUGUUAUUAGGGAAGAACAUAUGUGUAAGUAACUGUGCACAUCUUGACGGUACCUAAACAGAAAGCCACGGCUAACUACGUG